CCAGACUCCUACGGGAGGCAGCAGUGGGGGAUAUUGCACAAUGGGGGAAACCCUGAUGCAGCGACGCCGCGUGAGUGAAGAAGUAUUUCGGUAUGUAAAGCUCUAUCAGCAGGGACGAAAAUGACGGUACCUGAGUAAGAAGCCCCGGCUAACUACGUGCCAGCAGCCGCGGUAAUACGUAGGGGGCAAGCGUUAUCCGGAUUUACUGGGUGUAAAGGGAGCGUAGACGGUGAAGUAAGUCUGGAGUGAAAGGCGGGGGCCCAACCCCCGGACUGCUCUGGAAACUAUUUGACUGGAGUGCAGGAGAGGUAAGCGGAAUUCCUAGUGUAGCGGUGAAAUGCGUAGAUAUUAGGAGGAACACCAGUGGCGAAGGCGGCUUACUGGACUGUAACUGACGUUGAGGCUCGAAAGCGUGGGGAGCAAACAGGAUUAGAUACCCCAGUAUAA
rnacentral:rRNA from 1 species